rnacentral:rRNA from 1 species
AGCAGUCGCCGCGGUAAUACAGAGGGUGCGAGCGUUAAUCGGAUUUACUGGGCGUAAAGCGUGCGUAGGCGGCUUCUUAAGUCGGAUGUGAAAUCCCUGAGCUUAACUUAGGAAUUGCAUUCGAUACUGGGAAGCUAGAGUAUGGGAGAGGAUGGUAGAAUUCCAGGUGUAGCGGUGAAAUGCGUAGAGAUCUGGAGGAAUACCGAUGGCGAAGGCAGCCAUCUGACCUAAUACUGACGCUGAGGUACGAAAGCAUGGGGAGCAAACAGGAUUAGAUACCCCCGUAGUCCCUGUCUCUUAUAA